GACGAACGCUGGCGGCGUGCUUAACACAUGCAAGUCGAACGGUAAGGCCCUUUCGGGGGUACACGAGUGGCGAACGGGUGAGUAACACGUGGGUGAUCUGCCCUGCACUUUGGGAUAAGCCUGGGAAACUGGGUCUAAUACCGGAUAGGACUACGCGAUGCAUGUCGUGUGGUGGAAAGCUUUUGCGGUGUGGGAUAGGCCCGCGGCCUAUCAGCUUGUUGGUGGGGUGAUGGCCUACCAAGGCGACGACGGGUAGCCGGCCUGAGAGGGUGUCCGGCCACACUGGGACUGAGAUACGGACCAGACUCCUACGGGAGGCAGCAGUGGGGAAUAUUGCACAAUGGGCGCAAGCCUGAUGCAGCGACGCCGCGUGGGGGAUGACGGCCUUCGGGUUGUAAACCCCUUUCAGCACAGACGAAGCGUAAGUGACGGUAUGUGCAGAAGAAGCACCGGCCAACUACGUG
rnacentral:rRNA from 1 species